UUUUGUGCAUUAUUUCACAAUAAUGAAAGGUAGUUUUCAAUUGAUGAUUCUGACUAUUUUGUGUUUCACUCUCCAUACAACAAGGUAGUUUAUCUAAUACUGUUAAUAUGUGCAAUUAAUUUCUCUUUCUGGUUUACCAUUCGAAGCUUUCAGAGCACUUGAAAGAAUAACAGAGGUUUAAACUUUUUAGUUUAAUCACUACAGCUUGUUCAAAAGAGCUUUGCCUGGUUGUGGUUCAAUGACUUCUUGAGGAAUGUCGUGAUUCGAUGACUUCUUGAGGAAUGUCGUGAUCUAGAGGUCUGUUUUGGCUCCUAGUCCUAACAUGCAUUUCCAAUCUCUCUCUUACAUUCUUUCUUUUACCUUACCUAGACUGUAACCUGCAAUACACAGAUUGCUUUCACCAUGUCUCUCUUAAAACUAAUUGGUGCUAGAGAGGGUUUUAGCUUUAGUUUUAAGAUUAUGUGAGGUCGACCUAUCAGUGUCUUUGAUGAUCUUGGGUCCAGAGCUCUUCCAACUUUCCUCAAUUCCACCAUGAAUGCUAUUGAGGGAAUCAUUGGAAUGGUUGGGCUUUCUUGAUCUAAGAAAAGGGUUAUCAAGAUACUUCACGAUGUCAAU